GACUUUCAUUUUUAUGCCUUUAAAAUUUGUUAUUUUCAUAAAAAACAUUUCAUCUAAUCAUUUGUCAACACGUUACACGUCAGCAUCUCUUAGAGGUUCUUUAAGACCAGCUCCAACAACGUUAUUUAACAAAGUUAUUAACAUAUUAAAAAAAAGAAAAUAUUAAAAAGAUUAGAAAGAGAAGAAAAAAGAGCUCUUAAAAUUCUUGUUUUAUCAACGGUUACUUGUACUGUGUAUACACAUGGGCAUUUGUUAUUGGUUUAACCUUAUCAAAAUGCCAAAAUAUUAUUGUUUAGUUCAAUUUUUUUUUUUUUGGGAAACUAGCAUAGUUUCAUUUAUUGGAGAGCAUCCACAUCAGUAGAUGUCUUCAAAUUCAGUUAUAACUUAAACAAAAUUAAUAUUUUAAUAUAACUAUUUCAUCUGAAAAUUUGAGGCACUACAAAAUUAACAUUUGGCAAAUGGAUGUCUUAAACCAUCUUUAAGG
rnacentral:lncRNA from 1 species